rnacentral:rRNA from 1 species
GCCUACGACCAUAUCACCCUGAAUGCGCCCGAUCUCGUCUGAUCUCGGAAGCUAAGCAUGGUCGAGCCUGAUUACAACUUGGAUGGGAGACUGCCUUGGAAUACUAGGUGUUGUAGGUU